GGCGGCAGCGUUACCGCUUUGAAGCCGGCUUUUCUCAGAUCUCAAAAGCUCACCAAGGCUGGGCCUGGUCAGUAUUGUGAUGGGAGACCUCCAGAGAAAUCCAGGUUGCUGUUUCAA
rnacentral:rRNA from 1 species